ensembl:lncRNA
AGAAGGAGUUUCUCAUGGAACAGUCCUGAACAGAGUGCAUGCAAUAUGUGGUGGGUCUUUAAAAAAAAAUCUGGACCAGAAACUGUACUAGUGGUUAUUCUGAACCAGAAACUGCACUAGAGAGAGUGGUUAUUCUGAACCAGAAACGACCACUAGAGAGAGUGGUUAUUAUGAAGCAAAAACAGCACUAGAGAGAGUGGUUAUUAUGAAGCAAAAACAGCACUAGAGAGAGUGGUUAUUCUGAACCAGAAACAGCAAAAGAGAGAGUAGUUAUUCUGAACCAGAAGCAGCACUAGAGAGAGUGGUUAUUCUGAACCAGAAACGACCACUAGAGAGAGUGGUUAUUAUGAAGCAAAAACAGCACUAGAGAGAGUGGUUAUUAUGAAGCAAAAACAGCACUAGAGAGAGUGGUUAUUCUGAACCAGAAACAGCACUAGAGAGAGUGGUUAUUCUGAACCAGAAACAGCACUAUAGAGAGUGGUUAUUCUGAACCAGAAACGACCACUAGAGAGAGUGGUUAUUCUGAACCAGAAACAGCGCUAGAGAGAGUGGUUAUUCUGAACCAGAAACAGCAAAAGAGAGAGUAGUUAUUCUGAACCAGAAGCAGCACUAGAGAGAGUGGUUAUUCUGAACCAGAAACGACCACUAGAGAGCGUGGUUAUUCUGAACCAGAAGCAGCACUAGAGAGAGUGGUUAUUCUGAACCAGAAACAACCACUAGAGAGAGUGGUUAUUCUGAACCAGAAAUGACCACUAGAGGGGGAGUGGUUCACUUGCUUGACUCUUUGUUCUCAUCCUUUUGAUAUUUUACUAUUGAGUUCUACUAAUCAGCUAUUGCUUUGCUAGCUUCUCAGUGCUACUAUGUGGAAAUGCUAGUGGGUUUACUGGAAUAAAUAGAUUAUGGUUAACCUCUGUUUUUAGCCUUAAUUUAUGUGGGAGAGAUGGAAGAACCUGGCAACAGCAGUGGAGGCACAAAGACGUAAUUUAUUUGACUUGUAUGUAGUUUUACAUGUUUGUACAUUUUUUUGUGUUGGAGUUCCUUUUGACUUUUUUAAUGGAUUCAUUUUGAUUUCUUCUGUUUGGUUUUGAAGGAAGGCCUGUUCAGAACCUGUCUAACACACAAUUACUUUGAAUAAAAUAUCUGUAAGCUUUAUAAAGCUCAGCAGGAUUGUC